rnacentral:rRNA from 1 species
CGCCUGCCCUGUGACAAAGGUUUAACGGCCGCGGUAUUUUGACCGUGCAAAGGUAGCGCAAUCACUUGUCCUUUAAAUGAAGACCUGUAUGAAUGGCAUCACGAGGGCUUAACUGUCUCCUUUUUCCAGUCAAUGAAAUUGAUCCCCCCGUGCAGAAGCGGGGAUAAGACCAUAAGACGAGAAGACCCUAUGAAGCUUUAGACGCAAAGCAGAUCUUGUUAAACACUUCAAAAUAAAGAAACAAACUAAAAGAAUGCUGUCCUGAUGUCUUUGGUUGGGGCGACCACGGGGAAACGAAAAACCCCCAUGCGGACUGAGAAAACAAUUCUCACAACCAAGAGCCACAGCUCCAGUUAACAGAAUUUCUGACCUUUAGAUCCGGCAGUGCCGAUCAACGGACCGAGUUACUCUAGGGAUAACAGCGCAAUCCUCUUUUAGAGUUCCUAUCGACAAGGGGGUUUACGACCUCGAUGUUGGAUCAGGACAUCCUAAUGGUGCAGCAGCUAUUAAGGGUUCGUUUGUUCAACGAUUAAAGUCCU